rnacentral:rRNA from 1 species
AUUGAACGCUGGCGGCAGGCCUAACACAUGCAAGUCGAGCGGAUGAAGGGAGCUUGCUCCUGGAUUCAGCGGCGGACGGGUGAGUAAUGCCUAGGAAUCUGCCUGGUAGUGGGGGAUAACGUCCGGAAACGGGCGCUAAUACCGCAUACGUCCUGAGGGAGAAAGUGGGGGAUCUUCGGACCUCACGCUAUCAGAUGAGCCUAGGUCGGAUUAGCUAGUUGGUGGGGUCAAGGCCUACCAAGGCGGCGAUCCGUAACUGGUCUGAGAGGAUGAUCAGUCACACUGGAAGUGAGACACGGUCCAGACUCCUACGGGAGGCAGCAGUGGGGAAUAUUGGACAAUGGGCGAAAACCUGAUCCAGCCAUGCCGCGUGUGUGAAGAAGGUCUUCGGAUUGUAAAGCACUUUAAGUUGGGAGGAAGGGCAGUAAGUUAAUACCUUGCUGUUUUGACGUCACCAACAGAAUAAGCACCGGCUAACUUCGUG